rnacentral:rRNA from 1 species
UAGGGAAUCUUCGGCAAUGGACGGAAGUCUGACCGAGCAACGCCGCGUGAGUGAAGAAGGUUUUCGGAUCGUAAAGCUCUGUUGUAAGAGAAGAACGAGUGUGAGAGUGGAAAGUUCACACUGUGACGGUAUCUUACCAGAAAGGGACGGCUAACUACGUGCCAGCAGCCGCGGUAAUACGUAGGUCCCGAGCGUUGUCCGGAUUUAUUGGGCGUAAAGCGAGCGCAGGCGGUUAGAUAAGUCUGAAGUUAAAGGCUGUGGCUUAACCAUAGUAGGCUUUGGAAACUGUUUAACUUGAGUGCAAGAGGGGAGAGUGGAAUUCCAUGUGUAGCGGUGAAAUGCGUAGAUAUAUGGAGGAACACCGGUGGCGAAAGCGGCUCUCUGGCUUGUAACUGACGCUGAGGCUCGAAAGCGUGGGGAGCAAACAGGAUUAGAUACCCUGGUAGUCCACGCUGUAAACGAUGAGUGCCAGGUGUUAGACCCUUUCCGGGGUUUAGUGCCGUAGCUAACGCAUUAAGCACUCCGCCUGGGGAGUACGACCGCAAGGUUG